rnacentral:misc_RNA from 1 species
UCCGGUUUAUCACCGGCAGUCUCCGUAGAGUUCUCGCCAUAACGCGUUAGCAACUACGGACAAGGGUUGCGCUCGUUGCGGGACUUAACCCAACACCUCACGACACGAGCUGACGACAGCCAUGCAGCACCUCUGCACAGACCUCCGAAGAGGGGACCUCAUCUCUGAGGCUUUCCUGUGCAGUUCAAACCCAGGUAAGGUUCUGCGCGUUGCUUCGAAUUAAACCACAUGCUCCAUCGCUUGUGCGGGCCCCCGUCAAUUCCUUUGAGUUUCAGUCUUGCGACCGUACUCCCCAGGCGGAAUGCUUAAAGCGUUAGCUGCGCCACUGACGAGCAAGCUCGCCAACGGCUGGCAUUCAUCGUUUACGGCGUGGACUAC